UCAUCAGAAAGUUCUUGUGUGAGGUGGCU
rnacentral:piRNA from 1 species